rnacentral:rRNA from 1 species
AAGUAGUAUUUACAAAAAAAACUUAUUUAUCUUAGGCGGCAUUUAUUCUUAUUAGAGGAACUUGUUUAUUAAUCGAUAACCCACGAUAAAUUUCACUUAAAUUAAAAAUUUAUAUACCUCCAUUCUAGAUUAAAUUCAAUUCCUAUUCUCAAAAAGCUCUAAUAAAUUAGGUCAAGGUGUAAUAAAUAUUUAAGACAAAAUGAGUUACAUUUAAUAAAUUAAAGGAUAGAGAAAAGAAAAAUUCUUUUAAAAUAGGCUUCAUUAUUAAUAUACAACCAAUAAUUCCAUCUGAUUUAGACACUAAAUGUGC